rnacentral:lncRNA from 1 species
UAACACAUCUGCCAUCUCAAACAGAUGUUUGGAGCCGUUCCUCCGAUCCGCUCCGGGAGUGCCAAUGUUGUGCUGUUGCCAUGGAGACGUGAACCACGCCCUCCGGUGGUGCAUGGAGGAGCUACACCAGCUGACUGUCGAGCAUCGUGAACCAAUCGGGGCGAGUGGGGAAUGUUCUCUGGAAUGACAAUUAAACGAAACAAAGACGAACCGGUGCAGUGAACCGGCACAAAUGAGAGGGUGAGCCGCUGCCAAGAGCCGUAACUGUGCAGAGAUUGAUUUUAUUCACUGUAAAAAUACAUGCAGGAGCGUCAGAUCUGGCGCUUAUCAUUCCAGACUAGAGACCGAUCUGAGCCGCAGUUACUCUGAGUUCGCCAACACUGACAGAACUAUCAAAAAAGUUAAUGAAUCAAGAUACAAUGACUCUUAAAAUACAUUUCAAACAAGAAAACUUCCAAAAAGUUCUAAAAUUGAGAUACUAGAAGAUCGAGAUGCA